rnacentral:rRNA from 1 species
GAUGAACGCUGGCGGCGUGCCUAAUACAUGCAAGUCGAGCGAACAGAUAAGGAGCUUGCCCCUUUGACGUUAGCGGCGGACGGGUGAGUAACACGUGGGUAACCUACCUAUAAGACUGGGAUAACUUCGGGAAACCGGAGCUAAUACCGGAUAACAUUUGGAACCGCAUGGUUCUAAAGUGAAAGAUGGUUUUGCUAUCACUUAUAGAUGGACCCGCGCCGUAUUAGCUAGUUGGUAAGGUAACGGCUUACCAAGGCGACGAUACGUAGCCGACCUGAGAGGGUGAUCGGCCACACUGGAACUGAGACACGGUCCAGACUCCUACGGGAGGCAGCAGUAGGGAAUCUUCCGCAAUGGGCGAAAGCCUGACGGAGCAACGCCGCGUGAGUGAUGAAGGGUUUCGGCUCGUAAAACUCUGUUAUUAGGGAAGAACAAAUGUGUAAGUAACUGUGCACGUCUUGACGGUACCUAAUCAGAAAGCCACGGCUAACUACGUG